GUUAAAAAGCUCGUAGUUGGAUUUCUGGCAGAGCCGGUUGGUCCGCGCCGCAAGGCGUGUGAACCGCUCCGCGCUCGGCCUUCUUGGGGAGGAAGGCGUCUGCCGUUCAUUCGGCGGGCGUCCGGAGCCCCCUCGUUUACUGUGAAAAAAUUAGAGUGUUUAAAGCAGGCUUACGCCGUUGAAUACAUUAGCAUGGAAUAAUAAGAUAAGACUUUGGCGGUCUAUUUUGUUGGUUUGCACGCCAAGGUAAUGAUUAAUAGGGAUAGUUGGGGGUAUUCGUAUUCAAUUGUCAGAGGUGAAAUUCUUGGAUUUAUGGAAGACGAACUACUGCGAAAGCAUUUACCAAGGAUGUUUUCAUUAAUCAAGAACGAAAGUUAGGGGAUCGAAGAUGAUUAGAUACCAUCGUAGUCUUAACCAUAAACUAUGCCGACUCGGGAUCAGCGGUCGUCUUACGACUCCGUUGGC
rnacentral:rRNA from 1 species